rnacentral:rRNA from 1 species
AAUGAACGCUGGCGGCGUGGUUAAGACAUGCAAGUCGAACGGAGCAAGACCGGUAGCAAUACCUGUCUUGCCCAGUGGCGAACGGGUGCGUAACACGUGAACAAUCUACCUCUAAGUGGGGAAUAGCUCGGCGAAAGCCGAAUUAAUACCGCAUACGGUCGAGGCUCUCCUGAGCUUCGUACCAAAGUCAGGGACCGCAAGGCCUGACGCUAAGAGAGGAGUUCGCGGCCUACAGCUAG